rnacentral:rRNA from 1 species
UACGUAGGGGGCUAGCGUUGUCCGGAAUCAUUGGGCGUAAAGAGUGUGUAGGCGGUCCGGUAAGUCCGCUGUGAAAGUCGGGGGCUCAACCCUCGAAUGCCGGUGGAUACUGUCGGGCUAGAGUGCGGAAGAGGAGAGUGGAAUUCCUGGGUGUAGCGGUGAAAUGCGCAGAUAUCAGGAAGAACACCGAUGGCGAAGGCAGCUCUCUGGGACGGUACUGACGCUGAGACGCGAAAGCGUGGGGAGCGAACAGG